GAUGAAGAACGUAGCGAAAUGCGAUAAGUAAUGUGAAUUGCAGAAUUCAGUGAAUCAUCGAAUCUUUGAACGCACCUUGCGCCCUUUGGCUAUUCCGAAGGGCAUGCCUGUUUGAGUAUCAUGAAAACCUCAACUCUCAUGGCUUGCCAUGAUGAGCUUGGACUCUGGGGGUCUUGCUGGCUUUACGGUCAGCUCCUCUCAAAUAAAUCAGCUUGCCGGUGUUUGGUGGGAUCACAGGUGUGAUAACUAUCUACGCUUGUGGUUUUCCGCCUGGUAACCUUCAGCAAUGGAGGUUCGCUGGAGCUCAUAAAUGUCUCUCCUCAGCGAGGACAGAUUUUGACCGUUUGAUCUCAAAUCAGGUAGGACUACCCGCUGAACUUAAGCAUAUCAAUAAGCGGAGGA
rnacentral:misc_RNA from 1 species